GUGAAUAUUUAUUACGUACUUGUUUUAUAGAUGAGAGAAAGGAACUCAACCAAGGUCACGGGGAGAGCUUGGGAAGCGGCUGCAUGACUGAUUCAGGCCUGUCUGACUCCAAAGCCCGGGGUUUCCAGUGUAAUGGAGAUACUUGCUUUGGGACUGGUCAACACGUUGUGUGAAUAUUGCUAACUUUUUGAGACCGAGCUAGUGUGUAGGGCGCAGAGCCAACAUUUUAAAGCUCAGGUUAAAUUCGUCUUGCUCUAGAGAAGGGGAAGUGGGGCCUGUGUGCACAGUGACCUUGAGAAGGGCCUCUGCCUAUUGUGAAGAAUUGGAACCUUAGGUUCAGAGAGUCACGUUUUUCUCAGGUCAAUCGGCUAGGUGGUGGUAGACCCAGUAUUUGAACCCAUAUUUGCUGCCUCCUCUGCUCUGGGUACUGAGAGGAGUCACUGAGGUUGCGGCAAGACUGUGUUUUCCAGACUUUUUCUGAAGGCAGCUGUCUGAAGCCAUGUCUUCUGAAAGGGGCAUAAAUCUCUCCCCUGGACAAGCAAGAGAGUGCGGUGGAGCCAAAGGGAGCAGGGACAGUUUGCUCACGAAUCAAAGAGGCACAAGGGUGUGGGCAGGGACCACAAGGGGCUGGAGGCGGAGCCUGCGCCGAGUCAGCGGCUGAAGGGGAAUCCGAGACUCGCCUGGAAAUCUUUCCUGGGACAGCAGUCCCCUUUUAUAGGCGCUCUGUGGCUUCCACUGCUAUUGGGGAGGGUGGAGUCAAGGUCUCUGAGCCAGAUUGGAGACCUGUCACCCCUUAUCACCAUUUCGUUUGGUUAACACCUAGCCGGCCUCCUCCCCCCCCCGCAACCCUCCAGCGGCCUGUGGUGAAGUCCACACUUGCCAUGUCCUCCAACAGCUCUGCUUGACUCUCCAUACAUCAAUUAUCAUGGUGUUUAAUCCAGUUGGGGUCUAAAUCAGCCAUCUUUUAGGUGAUUGAUAAUGUUGGUGGGCAGCAUUAAUGAGGAGGCAAUUUUUCCCUUGAUCACCAUGACUCUAUUGUGGGUAUUUGUGAAAAUUCCAGAGUCUGUAUAUGACACUUGAGAGAGCUCUGUUUGUGCAGUUUACUGAGCACCUACUGGUGUCAGAUGCUGCUUCAGGGGCUAGCCUUACAUCAGGGAAUAACACAGACGAGACCCCUGCCAUCGGGGAGCUUCCCUGGAGUCAAGGAGGGAUGGGGAGACAAUGAUAAAUAUACGUAAUAAGUAAGCAAAUUAUUUCAUAUGUUAAAAGGCGGUAAGUGUAUAAAAAAAAGUGAGGCAGGGUAAGGAAGAUGGGGUGGGUUGCAACUUUAAAUAGAGUGGUCAUUAGAUUUAAAAUUGCUUAUUAGAAAGGCAAUUAGAAAAGGUACAAUUAGAAAAAAUACAGCACAGAGCAGGCGUGGGAAGGCAUUGGACUGCAAUCUUAAAUUGAGUGCUUGUUAGAAUUAGACUUAUUCAUGUCAAUAUGACUUUCACAAAGUGACUCUAUGUCAUUGUUUUCAUUGUAUGUGUUAGAAAAUAGAAUCUCAUAGAUUCGUCUUCCAUUUCUCUGCUUUCUGUUCUCGUCCCUUCUCCAUUUCCCCUUUUUCUUUCUUCCUCCCUCCUUCUUUGUUUCUUCUAUCUUCCAUUUUCUUGAAACAAAAAAACUCGAAGCCAUGGUGCUUGCCCUCAAGAAACUUCCAAUCCCGUUGAGGAAUAAAGAAGGGCCUAGUAAAACAAUUUGGGAGCAAUAUGUCAAUGAUAGUAUGAAUAAGCUGUGUUCUUAAAAAUGACAGAUAGGUGAAUGAUCAAAAUGAGUGGGAUUAUUUAGGUAACAUUUAGGGGAAGAAAGCAGGUUCAUUUUGAUCUGGGUUGAAGGAACUAAUGGUAGAAAGAAGGGCAUAAAAACGGGCAAGUGCUCAGAAGCAGAGUUCAGCAAGAUGUGCUCAUGGAUUUGUAGAGAGCUCGGCUCGGGUGGAGUGGACAGAUUUAGUUGGAUGAAUGAUCUUGGAGGAAAAACGGCGGAGGGAAUGUAAAUUAAAGAUGUAGAAGGCUGGUCCGAGGGAGGUGGAAUUUUCUCAGUACUCUAUUGAAAGAGCUGAGAAAAUAGAACUCUCUGAAUCUUAAAGCCGCUGAACCAUGUUGAGUAAAGAAAUGACCUCUUUAACCUUACUAAUGAUCAGAAAGUACUUACUGUUCUCAGACUCGUGAUUUAUUAUGUAAAUUAGAAUAUAUAUAUAUAUAUAUUUAGAGAGAGAGACAUACUAUAUGUGGCUAUGGAUGUACAGAGGGUAUAGUUUUCUUUGGGGACAUCCAUUUCCGUUUUCUCUCCCUCUUACUUACAGUCUCUCUCUCUCUUGCCUAUUGACUUUCUCUUUGGUAGUGUCCUUCUUAGUUUGGUUUUUUUUUAUGUUCAACUGACUGUACUGGCUAUCUUUGAAGUUAAGGAGAAAGUUCAGGAUUGAGACGUAUCUUUCAAAGAACUGGAACAGAAUUUAGAAUGGCAUGCCCUUAACCUCCACCUUAAUGUCCCUUUAGCAAUGCAGUAAUAGAGUUCUUUAUACUUCAACUCCUACUUAUUUUCGCCUUUAUGUUUCUGCCCAUUCAUUUCAUGCAGCUCCUGAGUUGACUUUUCCAUGGGCCAUCUGGACUGUUUACCACACAGCCCAUCAGGAGCGCUGUUCCUGUGCAGCUGCCCAAGAGGGGAAUUCUUUCAUCUUGGUUACAUGAUCCAGGCUUGUUUCUCUCCCAGAUACAUCUUAAAAUAUCUUAUUUGUGAGUGUUGUAAAUUUUUAUUUCUUUCUUGUUUUCAGGACUGUUUCUACUGUGGGCGUGCUUCAUUGCCAUGGCGCUUGUGACAAUGACAGAGUUGCUGACGAGCCUGGAGUGGACUGAUUUGAGCUGGUUCUUGGCCCAUUCAUCAUUUGUUUAACAGGUGUUUGUGAAGCACCUGCUCUGUGUGGAACACUGCACACAGUUGGCUGCCGGCUCAGAACCCAUGGAUGAAUACCAUCUGGUCCCAAUGAUUUACUGCACAGAGUCCCUCAAGUUGCUCCAUACCUCUCUCCUCAGAGACCGAAGAAUCUCUGUCAAGGCCGUUCUCGGCUUUGCCAUAAAAUGUGUCCUUGGAACAGGAAUUUCCCCAUUGUCUUCUCCAAUAAAUACUGAUUCAAAGUGUUCAUUUAGCCGCUCCUCUGCCUCGUCAUUCCAUUUAGUACUCUCCGUCUCCUAAUGAAA